AUUCAGCUGAUGAGUCCCAAAUAGAACGAAAUGUGCGUCCCGGAU
rfam:Schistosoma mansoni strain Puerto Rico chromosome W, complete genome